GAAAAGGACAUCUUUUCUGGGUGUUAGUUCUAGAAGGUCUUGUAGGUCUUCAUAGAACCGUUCAACUUCAGCUUCUUCAGCAUUAUUGGCCGGGGCAUAGACUUGUAUAACCAUGAUAUUGAAUGCUGUGCCUUGAAAACAAACAG